GGUUAAGAAGCCAUUCAACAAUGAUACAACAGGUGCUGCAUAUGACAGCGCCAGGCCCACCUGCAGUGUAUAUUUAUGCUUAUUUUUUAGAUGGUGAAUUAGUGAUGCCAUCAUCAUCGACAAAGAAUCAUACCUGGAGUCUCAGUGAGAGCCACAGGCCAGCAAUCAGUUCACAGUAGGAUGUUUUCUGGUAUAGUGUCACAUGUUGCAUGAAUUUCUCUAAGAAGAAACCCUGUAUGUUAUACUACCACAGUUAGUAUCCCAAACAAACCGUGCCAGUGAUAGCAACUAGCGAGCAAUGUUAUAACAGCCAAUCUUGUAUGUAAAUGCUCCGGCAUACUUAAUUCAUUUUGAACAAA